rnacentral:rRNA from 1 species
UGCAUGUCUAAGUAUAAGCAAUUAUACAGCGAAACUGCGAAUGGCUCAUUAAAUCAGUUAUCGUUUAUUUGAUAGUACCUUACUACAUGGAUAACCGUGGUAAUUCUAGAGCUAAUACAUGCUGAAAACCCCGACUUCGGAAGGGGUGUAUUUAUUAGAUUAAAAACCAAUGCCCUUCGGGGCUCACUGGUGAUUCAUGAUAACUUCUCGAAUCGCACGGCCUUGCGCCGGCGAUGGUUCAUUCAAAUUUCUGCCCUAUCAACUUUCGACGGCUGGGUCUUGGCCAGCCGUGGUGACAACGGGUAACGGAGGGUUAGGGCUCGACCCCGGAGAAAACGCCUGAGAAACGGCGUUUACAUCCAAGGAAGGCAGCAGGCGCGCAAAUUACCCAAUGCCGACACGGCGAGGUAGUGACGAGAAAUACUGAUACAGGGCUCUUUUGGGUCUUGUAAUUGGAAUGAGUACAAUUUAAAUCUCUUAACGAGGAACAAUUGGAGGGCAAGUCUGGUGCCAGCAGCCGCGGUAAUUCCAGCUCCAAUAGCGUAUAUUAAAGUUGUUGCAGUUAAAAAGCUCGUAGUUGAACCUUGGGCCUGGCUGGCCGGUCCGCCUCACCGCGUGCACUGGUCCGGCCGGGCCUUUCCCUCUGGGGAGCCCCAUGCCCUUUACUGGGCGUGGCGGGGAACCAGGACUUUUACUUUGAAAAAAUUAGAGUGUUCAAAGCAGGCCUAUGCUCGAAUACAUUAGCAUGGAAUAAUAGAAUAGGACGUGUGGUUCUAUUUUGUUGGUUUCUAGGACCGCCGUAAUGAUUAAUAGGGACAGUCGGGGGCGUCAGUAUUCAAUUGUCAGAGGUGAAAUUCUUGGAUUUAUUGAAGACUAACUACUGCGAAAGCAUUCGUCAAGGAUGUUUUCAUUAAUCAGGAACGAAAGUUAGGGGAUCGAAAACGAUCAGAUACCGUUGUAGUCUUAACCAUAAACUAUGCCGACUAGGGAUCGGGCGGUGUUAUUUUUUGACCCGCUCGGCACCUUACACGAAAGUACAAGUUUCUGGGUUCUGGGGAGAUUCACGGUCC